rnacentral:ncRNA from 10 species
UUCGUUCAUCUUAACUGACGGAAGUAGGGUGUACCUAUAAACACCUGAAGGAACGCAUU